UCACUUGUAUUUUUAUUUUACAAUAAAAAGAAGAAUGUAAUGAUAAUUACAUUAUAUAAUAUUAAAAUUAUAAUUAUAUUACUAAGUAUAACCAAAGGCAUUAUAAAUUUCCCUCAAACACUUUAUAUACCCAUUGUAUUCCUGCGCAUUUGCCACACUUGAUAAAUGCCCAUUACCUCUCGUGCCAUCUCUCUAUUUUUUCUGCUAUGUGCAUUAUUGCCUCGGAAAUUUAUUUGUAUGAAUGUUUUUUUUGCAAGCAUUUUAAAGUUGCUUCUCCACACCAAACAACCAUUGAUUCUUUUUUUUGUUCCCCCUUUUUUUAAUUCUUUUUACGUG
rnacentral:misc_RNA from 1 species